rnacentral:rRNA from 1 species
AUGGACCCGGCAUGCGGCUUCAGACAACCUUCAACCCAGCAAGCAGCAAUGAUGGAACCCGAUGAGUUGUUUCAUGAUCUGUCUACAUCCAUCCACGAGGAUGAAGAGAGUCGUGGGUGCCUCUCGCCCGUCACCGAGGUUCUCAUGACCAAUGGAGCUCCUAGCAUCGGCGAAUCGUCUGUUGCUCGUACCCGUGAUGGGCGAGAAAACCAAAACAUCGAUGACGAGACAGUCGAUCGCCAUGACGGCGGUGAUGCAAACGCUUCUUUGGUGCUGAACCAGUAUGCUAGGGUCUGGCGACCCCGGGGCGACGCCCACACGGCGCCUCCGCCGCUCGGCUCCGGCCUUGUGAACGCCGGAGAUGCUGCCAUGUGCGCCAAUCAGGAGUACUAUGGCUCUGUUGCGGCCUCGUCCGCCCGUCAACCUCCUGGCCUCAGCGCCAUGGUCGGUCUAACUGCAGAUCAGUCUAGAAGGCUCAAGUAUGGGAGUCAGGCAUGCAUACGUAUGGAAUAUGGGAUGGUUAUGAACCCUUGGCCAAUUCGAGAGGGAGAAGGGGCCUCACUGAAGGUGUAUUCAAGACGUCCUAGGGCCACUGGAGUGGAGUAUCUCAAACCCAGGAAGCCGCCUGAUGGGGCUCCCCUUGCGGAUGCUACCCGCCCGAAGCUGACCGAUGGGGGAGCUGCGGCCUUCCUGGCGGUGAAUCCCAGCGCGCCUGCUAUUGUUGGCCAUGUGGAGAACAUGGACCUUGACCAAGAUACGGAGGCGAACAUGACCGGGGGGUGGAUACCCAGCAGGAACAAUAAGAGUUCUCACUUGGAAUUGCAGAGGGGGAGGUAUAUUGAUGCGCAUUCCCUUCUUCGAGAUCUCCAUCAACUCGAGGAUAUGCCAUGGGCUGUGAUCGGGGACUUCAACGAGGCCAUGUGGGCCUUCAAACACCUAUCGGACAGCCCGCGGUCGGCCGAGGUGGUGCACUUGGUGGCGCCCAGCUCGGACCACCUGCCGAUAUUACUCAAGUGUUCGGCCUUGCAUGAUAGGCCGGAGCCAUCCAAACGAUGCCGCAGUUAUGAAGUGAUGUGGGAGCGCGACGGUGCACUCCCGGAGGUGAUCCAAAAUGCUUGGAGGGAGGCGGGCGCUAUGGGAAAUCUUGGUGAUGUCGCUGCUGCCCUUGGGAAGCUCAUGCACAUCCUUCAUGACUCGGGCAAGAAGAGGUUUGAUAAUGUGGUAAUGGAAAUUAACAACUCUCGUUCACGCUUGGAGGAAUUAAUGGCUAUGAAUGCAGACCAACGCACUAUAAGAGAAGCGACGGAUCGCAUGAAUGAGCUCCUCUACAGAGAGGAGAUGCUAUGGAUGCAGAGAUCAAGAGUGUCAUGGCUGAGAGAAGGAGACCGCAACACAAAUUUUUUCCAUCGACAGGCUGUGUGGCGUGCCCGAAAAAACCGGAUUAAGGUCCUGAUUGAUGAGCAUGGGGUCGAGCAGAAGGACCAUGACGUGAUGGCAGGCAUGCCGUUCCACUACUACUUCCUCGCCUCCCCUGCCUCCACUCCCCGCUCGUGCUUCCUCCGGGCAUCACCAGAGGGCGCGGCAGUCCUCGCGGGGCAUCCAGCGACACACAGGCCGUGGCAGGAACAGCCUCGCGUCAGGCUGACCGAUCAGCAGCGCCGGGCUUGUGGUGUUGCCCAGCAGGUGUUCGACGUAAUGCUGAUGGCUCGCGCCAGGGCUUUCUACAGCACACCGAGGGCUCUGCGGUUUGGGAAUUUGCCAGACAGGUUCUUGUUGUGCAAGAUCGGAGCCGACAACAGCCUGCUUCCUCAUAAACUCUACCUUUUGAAUAUUGGGCAAGUUGUCCUACAAGAAGGUUUUCUGAAAGAUCCAACACUCUCAUAUACUGCAGUUGACAUACAUAUACUGGAAUUGUUCCAUUGA